UGGAACCACCCGAUCCCAUCCCGAACUCGGAAGUGAAACGAUACAUCGCCGAUGGUAGUGUGGGGUUUCCCCAUGUGAGAGUAGGUCAUCGCCAGGC
rnacentral:rRNA from 1 species